rnacentral:antisense_RNA from 1 species
GAAAACCCAAAACUGCCAAAUCUGAAAUGAGGGAAACACAUCCUGUGUGAGACCAGUUCCACAGCAUGAACACACACACACAUAUACACCAGUACAUACACCGACAUACACACAGUACAAAUGAGCACACACGUCCUGCUGUGCACAGCUGUUUUCUAAUAUAGAGAAUUUACAAAAUAUAGAAUUUGGCAUAUCUGUGAGAUCUCCAAGGCUUUCAAUAAUACAAAAUAAAAAAUACAAAAAAGACAAGUGGGGAUCCCCGCCCUCCCACCGAGUGGCGUCCUCGUUUGCUUGUGUGUCUCUUACACGCAUACAACUAGCAUAGUCUAAAGAAGGGCACGGAGAACUUGUUUUGUUUUAUUUAAUAAAUAUUUUUCUCAGAAUCACCA